GGAUUACUCUCAACCAGCGCCCAUUAGCUAUGCGAAUGAUUCUUACGCUUCAGAAGAUGGCCCAGGAGUUGAGGGUUUGCAGAUAAUGGGGAAUGCAAAACCAGGAGGUAAACUUUUAGCCGUUGGAUAUCCUGUGCGUGGAACCUCACUAUGCAUGUUUCAGACGACGGUUGGGCCAGUUCGGAGGAGUACUUCGAGGGUAUGUCUUUAAAGGCUCUCAACUAUGCCAUAAACUUAUCUGACUGCUAAUUGAUUUCCUUAAAUGCCAUAAAAAUUUCCUUAAUGGAUUUUUUUUUGUGUUUGCAAGGG